CCUACGGGUGGCAGCAGUGGGGAAUAUUGGGCAAUGGGCGCAAGCCUGACCCAGCAACGCCGCGUGAGGGAAGAAGGCUUUCGGGUUGUAAACUUCUUUUAAGGGGGACGAACAAAUGACGGUACCCCUUGAAUAAGCCACGGCUAACUACGUGCCAGCAGCCGCGGUAAUACGUAGGUGGCAAGCGUUAUCCGGAUUUAUUGGGUGUAAAGCGCUCGUAGGCGGUAUGUCAAGUCAAGGGUGAAAUCCCCGCGCUCAACGUGGGAACUGCCUUUGAAACUGGCAAACUGGAGUGUGUGAGAGGAUAGUGGAAUUCCAGGUGUAGGAGUGAAAUCCGUAGAUAGCUGGAGGAACAUCAGUGGCGAAGGCGACUAUCUGGCACAUAACUGACGCUGAGGAGCGAAAGCGUGGGUAGCAAACAGGAUUAGAUACCCGGGUAGUC
rnacentral:rRNA from 1 species